rnacentral:lncRNA from 1 species
AUAAGUAGUAACUAUAUGGAAUGCCAAAUAAGACAAAGUUCUACACCAAAGGGUUUGAAAAAACUGCAUAAAACUAGUCAUAAAAGACUUAACCAAUAAGUUAAUAAAGAGAGAGAGAGAUAAUGAUACAUAAUGCAAAUGUUACUUCCAUCAAAUGCAUACCAGGGAUCUACACUAGAGAACAAAAUAUAUGUAUAAAAAUGCAUAAAUAUGAUUUGCAAAAGAUGGAAAAUAACAAAUGCUAGUAGCUAAACUACAAUCAUACUUCAAAGCGCCACAAUUCUACACCAGAGGCUCAUGAAGAGUAGAAAUGCAUAGAAUUAUUUUAACUUCAAAAGAGAAAAUUUAUAAAAGCAAUCAUCCUAAAAAUAAUAUACAGCAUCAAAACUGUAUAUCAACAGUCAUUAAGACCAAAAAAACGGAACUCAGACUCAAUAGAUCUGGCCCAACCCUAUGGAUAACUUAUAUGUACCCUAGGAAAAAAAAAGAACACUAGGUGUCUAUGCAGCUAUAUAUAAGCCAUACACAACUUACAAGUGCCGGAUGAGGCUUUCGUGCUAAUCUGUAUCAAAAAUCAGUAGGUACAACACCCAAAAUAAAAUAAUAAAACAAUAAUAUAUAGAUAAAUAGGGCAUUGUUAAAUAAAAAGAUGUUGAAUAUAAUGUUUAUCAUAAUUAAUAUAAGUGUAAUUUGUAAAAAGUUUAAAAUUGUAAAAUAUGAUGCUUUACGAAUAAAAUUUUUGAGAUUCAAGACAAGAAGAAGAAGAAUGGUUUAAAUUCAUAUGCUGAAUAAGAAAAGAAAAAGAAUAAGAAUAAUAAAACAACUUAAUGAAAGAAAAGAACUUGAAAAUUGUCCCAGUCUUUACUAUACAAGUAAAGUCGUAUAUACCAUCCGAACAGAAAGUUCGACGGAAACAACAAAAUUUUUGGUAGUUGUACAAAAUUGGUAAUAAAUAUAUCAAAACAAAUAGGAAAUAUAAGAAUAAGUUAAAAAUAAUUGAAAAUAAGUAAUAAAACAAGAUUUAAAUGCACUUUAGAGUACACAGUAGUAC